AUUGAACGCUGGCGGCAGGCUUAACACAUGCAAGUCGAGCGGAGCGAGGGUGCUUGCACCUUAGCUUAGCGGCGGACGGGUGAGUAAUGCUUAGGAAUCUGCCUAUUAGUGGGGGACAACAUUCCGAAAGGAAUGCUAAUACCGCAUACGCCCUACGGGGGAAAGCAGGGGAUCUUCGGACCUUGCGCUAAUAGAUGAGCCUAAGUCGGAUUAGCUAGUUGGUGGGGUAAAGGCCUACCAAGGCGACGAUCUGUAGCGGGACUGAGAGGAUGAUCCGCCACACUGGGACUGAGACACGGCCCAGACUCCUACGGGAGGCAGCAGUGGGGAAUAUUGGACAAUGGGCGGAAGCCUGAUCCAGCCAUGCCGCGUGUGUGAAGAAGGCCUUUUGGUUGUAAAGCACUUUAAGCGAGGAGGAGGCUCUUAAGGUUAAUACCCUUGAUGAGUGGACGUUACUCGCAGAAUAAGCACCGGCUAACUCUGUGCCAGCAGCCUCCGUAACAC
rnacentral:rRNA from 1 species